GUCUGGAGUCAAGAGGUCUUGGGCUGGGAGAGUGGAGCAGCCCACACGCAUGGAAAGGGCGGUGUGUCUUUUCCUCCUCCUGAGUGGGUGGCUGUGGUCCUUCUGUGGACGUCUCAGAGGUUACCCAUUGCCUUUCACCCGCAAUGUCCUG